AGAGUUUGAUUCUGGCUCAGGAUGAACGCUGGCGGCGUGCUUAACACAUGCAAGUCGAACGAAGCACCUUGAUUUGAUUCUUCGGAUGAAGAUCUUGGUGACUGAGUGGCGGACGGGUGAGUAACGCGUGGGUAACCUGCCUCAUACAGGGGGAUAACAGUUAGAAAUGACUGCUAAUACCGCAUAAGACCACAGCACCGCAUGGUGCAGGGGUAAAAACUCCGGUGGUAUGAGAUGGACCCGCGUCUGAUUAGGUAGUUGGUGGGGUAACGGCCUACCAAGCCGACGAUCAGUAGCCGACCUGAGAGGGUGACCGGCCACAUUGGGACUGAGACACGGCCCAAACUCCUACGGGAGGCAGCAGUGGGGAAUAUUGCACAAUGGGGGAAACCCUGAUGCAGCGACGCCGCGUGAGCGAUGAAGUAUUUCGGUAUGUAAAGCUCUAUCAGCAGGGAAGAAAAUGACGGUACCUGACUAAGAAGCACCGGCUAAAUACGUGCCAGCAGCCGCGGUAAUACGUAUGGUGCAAGCGUUAUCCGGAUUUACUGGGUGUAAAGGGAGCGUAGACGGAGUGGCAAGUCUGAUGUGAAAACCCGGGGCUCAACCCCGGGACUGCAUUGGAAACUGUCAAUCUAGAGUACCGGAGAGGUAAGCGGAAUUCCUAGUGUAGCGGUGAAAUGCGUAGAUAUUAGGAGGAACACCAGUGGCGAAGGCGGCUUACUGGACGGUAACUGACGUUGAGGCUCGAAAGCGUGGGGAGCAAACAGGAUUAGAUACCCUGGUAGUCCACGCCGUAAACGAU
rnacentral:rRNA from 1 species